rnacentral:rRNA from 1 species
AUUGAACGCUGGCGGCAGGCCUAACACAUGCAAGUCGAACGGUAACAGGAAGCAGCUUGCUGCUUUGCUGACGAGUGGCGGACGGGUGAGUAAUGUCUGGGAAACUGCCCGAUGGAGGGGGAUAACUACUGGAAACGGUAGCUAAUACCGCAUAACGUCGCAAGACCAAAGAGGGGGACCUUAGGGCCUCUUGCCAUCGGAUGUGCCCAGAUGGGAUUAGCUAGUAGGUGGGGUAACGGCUCACCUAGGCGACGAUCCCUAGCUGGUCUGAGAGGAUGACCAGCCACCAUGGAACUGAGACACGGUCCAGACUCCUACGGGAGGCAGCAGUGGGGAAUAUUGCACAAUGGGCGAAAGCCUAAUGCAGCAAUGCCGCGUGUAUGAAGAAGGCCUUCGGGUUGUAAAGUACUUUAAGCGGGGAGGAAGGGAGUAAAGUUAAUACCUUUGCUCAUUGACGUUACCCGAAGAAGAAGCACCGGCUAACUCCGUG